rnacentral:lncRNA from 1 species
GGGAAACUCAUCCAUUCUAACCACUGCCUCAUGGCCGCUUACGUGCACCUCAUGCCCGCCCUGGCCCAGCGCCGCAUGGCAGACGAGGCUGCCUCGGCCGUGCCAGGUGUUCCUGCAGAACAGCCCAGAGACUCGCCAUGAGGCAGCUAGCUAGCUGUCCCUGACCGCAGGAGAGAAGGUGGUUUUGCUGUGGGCACAUUGGUCUUCAAUACGAUCCUCCUGUCUCAGCCUCCCAGGUACUGGAAUUACAGACAUGGGCUACAACUGGUUGCUAGAUAAUUCUUUAGGAAUAUAAAAAUUGCUGACCAGAAGCUUCCCUACAGAGUGACCUGUCUACAUGAUUAAUUUCACUCCUUGACAAGUACAAACGUGAGUAGAGCAGCUUGUGAACUUAAUUCCCCAAACCAGGAAGGUGGAGACCUAGGAUAUUGUGUGGCUGCUGAAAGAGCUCUACAUCAGCAUCUGUAUGUAUCCCUUCAAUAAACAUGUGCUGUG